UCAUUGUAUUCUGUUUAUAUUUACAUCUAACACAAUUUCCCAGCUCAUAUGGAAACGGGGUUUGAACACGCAGUACCUGAAGUGUUUUCCAGAGAUGGCGUGCAGCUCCUCGGCCACGGCGCAGUAGACGCUGGUCUGGGCGCCCUCACGAGGCGUCUUCAGAAAGAUGGAGAAGAAGCCGAAGAGGAUCAUCAUCAGGGUGGAGUGCCUGGUCAGGUCAGAGUUCACCGUGCCGGGGUGGACGGAGUUGACGGUCACGUUGCAGCCUGAGAGAGCCAGCGUGGGAAGUGAAGUGACUCCACCCACCCUCAAGAUGACACCUUCUUCUACCUCCCUGUGAGGCAGGAUGUGGGUGUUGUACCUUUCAGGCGGCGAGCAAGCUCCCGGGCAAAGAGCACGUUGGCCAGCUUGCUCUGGCAGUACGCCAGGCCGCUGUUGUAGCUGCCCUGGCUGUGCAGGUCGUGGAGGCGGAUCCAGCCGAAGUUGUGCGCCAGGGACGACACCACCACGAUCCUGGAUGGAGCGCUGCGCUUCAACAGGCCGAUGAGGAGGGAGGUCAACAGGAAGUGACCUGGCAGGACAAGAACCCACAAACUGAUAGAGAGAUGGCGAAGGGACCUUCUAUUUCAUUCAAAAUUGUUGCAAAUUGAAUCAACCCAACAUUUUACAAACAGUCAAGUCUCACCCAAGUGGUUGACGCCGAUGUGCAUCUCGAAGCCGUCGUUGGUUUUGGUGUAGGGACACAUCAUGACUCCUGCAUUGUUGACCAGGACGUGAAGCUGCGUGAAGUCUGCACCACAACAUCGAACAAGAAGACAAAAGGCUGAAACCUUCCAAGAAGAAUGCUGGUAAAACUCCACUCGGACUUCCAAGCGGACAGAUGGCAGGAUCUGCCCAACUUCCAGAAGUACUCUUUUUGAAGUAUUUUUACGAACUCUCUUUCAAAUAUUUUAUGGGACUCUCUUUGAACGAUUUCAUGGAACUCUUUUUGAACUGUUCGGGAACCGAAGGCAACGCUGUUUACGACCCACUUCCCUGAGGAAGCAGCUGCGGUAAAGGAGGGGGGAGGAAAUCAAAUAAAGAAGGAUGAGUAGGAUCUUGGGGCAGAGCGUGGUGCAGGACUGUACAGACAUGUCUCUCUUCAGAUCUGAGUCCAAAUCUAAUUGUGACUCUGUUUUAUUCGUUGCCUUUUGUCUUGUUUAAUAGAUGUCAUCAGUGUUUGAACCUGACAGAAACACCAACAAAGAAGACACAUCAUGACUCCGGCAUUGUUGACCAGGACGUGAAGCUGCGUGAAGUCUGCACCACAACAUCGAACAAGAAGACAAAAGGCUGAAACCUUCCAAGAAGAAUGCUGGUAAAACUCCACUCGGACUUCCAAGCGGACAGAUGGCAGGAUCUGCCCAACUUCCAGAAGUACUCUUUUUGAAGUAUUUUUACAAACUCUCUUUCAAAUAUUUUAUGGGACUCUCUUUGAACGAUUUCAUGGAACUCUUUUUGACCUGUUCGGGAACCGAAGGCAACUUAAGGAGGGGGGAGGAAAUCAAAUAAAGAAGGAUGAGUAGGAUCUUGGGGCAGAGCGUGGUGCAGGACUGUACAGACAGUACAGUGGCCAUGUCUCUCCUCAGAUCUGAGUCCAAAUGUAAUUCUGAAUGUUUUAUUCGUUGCCUUUUGUCUUGUUUAAUAGAUGUCAUCAGUGUUUGAACCUGACAGAAACACCAACAAAGAAGACACAUCAUGACUCCUGCGUUGUUGACCAGGACGUGAAGCUGCGUGAAGUCUGCACCACAACAUCGAACAAGAAGACAAAAGGCUGAAACCUUCCAAGAAGAAUGCUGGUAAAACUCCACUCGGACUUCCAAGCGGACAGAUGGCAGGAUCUGCCCAACUUCCAUAAGAACUCUUUUUGAAGUAUUUUUACGAACUCUCUUUCAAAUAUUUUAUAGGAAUCUCUUUGAACUAUUUUAUGGAACUCUUUUUGAACUGUUCGGGAACUGAAGGCAACUUAAGGAGGGGGGAGGAAAUCAAAUAAAGAAGGAUGAGUAGGAUCUUGGGGCAGAGCGUGGUGCAGGACUGUACAGACAGUACAGUGGCCAUGUCUCUCCUCAGAUCUGAGUCCAAAUUUAAUUCUGUCUGUUUUAUUCGUUGCCUUUUGUCUUGUUUGCUAGAUGUCAUCAGUGUUUGAACCUGACAGAAACACCAACAAAGAAGACACAUCAUGACUCCUGCAUUGUUGACCAGGACGUGAAGCUGCGUGAAGUCUGCACCACAACAUCAAACAAGACGACAAAAGGCUGAAACCUUCCAAGAAAAUGCUGGUAAAACUCCACUCGGACUUCCAAGCGGACAAAUGGCAGGAUCUGCCCAACUUCCAGAAGAACUCUUUUUGAAGUAUUUUUACGAACUCUCUUUCAAAUAUUUUAUAGGAAUCUCUUUGAACUAUUUUAUGGGACUCUCUUUGAACGAUUUUAUGGAACUCUUUUUGAACUGUUCGGGAACCGAAGGCAACUUAAGGAGGGGGGAGGAAAUCAAAUAAAGAAGGAUGAGUAGGAUCUUGGGGCAGAGCGUGGUGCAGGACUGUACAGACAUGUCUCUCCUCAGAUCUGAGUCCAAAUCUAAUUCUGUCUGUUUUAUUCGUUGCCUUUUGUCUUGUUUAAUAGAUGUCAUCAGUGUUUGAACCUGACAGAAACACCAACAAAGAAGACGUCCUGCGUUGUUGACCAGGACGUGAAGCUGCGUGAAGUCUGCACCACAACAUCAAACAAGAAGACAAAAGGCUGAAACCUUCCAAGAAUGCUGGUAAAACUCCACUCGGACUUCCAAGCGGACAGAUGGCAGGAUCUGCCCAACUUCCAGAAGUACUCUUUUUGAAGUAUUUUUACGAACUCUCUUUCAAAUAUUUUAUAGGAAUCUCUUUGAACGAUUUCAUGGAACUCUUUUUGAGCUGUUCGGGAACCGAAGGCAACUUAAGGAGGGGGGAGGAAAUCGAAUAAAGAAGGAUGAGUAGGAUCUUGGAGCAGAGCGUGGUGCAGGACUGUACAGACAGUACAGUGGCCAUGUCUCUCCUCAGAUCUGAGUCCAAAUUUAAUUCUGUCUGUUUUAUUCGUUGCCUUUUGUCUUGUUUAAUAGAUGUCAUCAGUGUUUGAACCUGACAGAAACACCAACAAAGAAGACACAUCAUGACUCCUGCAUUGUUGACCAGGACGUGAAGCUGCGUGAAGUCUGCACCACAACAUCGAACAAGAAGACAAAAGGCUGAAACCUUCCAAGAAGAAUGCUGGAUUCUCUUUGAACGAUUUCAUGGAACUCUUUUUGAGCUGUUCGGGAACCGAAGGCAACGUUGUUUACGACCCACUUCCCUGAGGAAGCAGCUGCGAUGUCAUCAGUGUUUGAACCUGACAGAAAUACCAACAAAGAAGACGUCCUGCAUUGUCGUGAAGCUGCGGGAAGUCUGCACCACAACAUCGAGCAUGAAACACCAACGAAGAAGUAACACACACUUCCUGUUUCUUCACCUGUCAGGAAUUGCUGCGCGAAAGAUCGUAUGGAGCAGGUGUCGGCCAGGUCCAGCCCCCGCACCUCCAGGCGUGCUUCGGGAUACGAGAGCCUGAUGCUGGCGGCCGCCUCCUCGCCUUUGUCCACGUCCCGACACGCCAUGAUCACCUGCGCUCCUGUGAGGUGACAACAUCCUCCCAACUGAUUCCUCCAACCUCAGGUCUGUCUAUAGUCACCUCGGGUUGCCAGGUCCAGGGCCGUCUCCUUGCCGAUGCCGGUGUUGGCCCCAGUGAUGAGGACCGUCUUCCCGUCCAGGCGAGCCAGGGACUUGCACCUUCCUCCUGCUGCAUAGCUUCUAUUGAGAAGAUGGUAACCAUGACAACAAGGCCAGGGGGCAAAUGGUGGUCAAGUCGUCCCUCGCGACAUCACACUUUACUCUCCGAUGGAUUUAUUUUUUAAAGGCCUACUGAAAUGAGAUGUUCUUAUUUAAACGGGGAUAGCAGCUCCA